GAUGAACGCUGGCGGCGUGCCUAAUACAUGCAAGUCGAGCGAACAGACGAGGAGCUUACUCCUCUGACGUUAGCGGCGGACGGGUGAGUAACACGUGGAUAACCUACCUAUAAGACUGGGAUAACUUCGGGAAACCGGAGCUAAUACCGGAUAACAUGUUGAACCGCAUGGUUCAACAGUGAAAGACGGUCUUGCUGUCACUUAUAGAUGGAUCCACGUCGCAUUAGCUAGUUGGUAAGGUAACGGCUUACCAAGGCAACGAUGCGUAGCCGACCUGAGAGGGUGAUCGGCCACACUGGAACUGAGACACGGUCCAGACUCCUACGGGAGGCAGCAGUAGGGAAUCUUCCGCAAUGGGCGAAAGCCUGACGGAGCAACGCCGCGUGAGUGAAGAAGGUCUUCGGAUCGUAAAACUCUGUUAUUAGGGAAGAACAAAUGUGUAAGUAACUAUGCACGUCUUGACGGUACCUAAUCAGAAAGCCACGGCUAACUACGUG
rnacentral:rRNA from 1 species